rnacentral:lncRNA from 1 species
UUGCCCGGGCCUAAAAGGGCUCAAAUUACAAUUGGCCUAUAUGGCCCAGACCCAAAACCCAAACCAAAAUACAAUAACAAAUGGCCCAAAAUUAACCCCCAAGCCCAAGAACAAUUUCGGAAACCCUAGGGUUCAAGGGUAAACUUCAGCGCCGCAAGCCAAGCCUCGCUCCAAAUCUUCCCCGAUCUUCACCUGCAAGGAAACAAAACAACAAAGAAAGAAAUAAACAGCAAAUCAAAGAUUUGUAAUCAAAAUAGAUUUGUUUCUUGAUUUCUUUUUUU